CCGAUUCUCCAGAGAUUUGAAAUUCAUCUUCCAGUUAGCAGUUACUUACCGUUCUUACCCAAGGAAUGCUCCUCAAGCUCCUCUGAGGUGCUCGCACAAAGAGGAGAACAGAACCAUUUUUUUUAUAUAUUCGUUCGUUGGACUCUGCUAUACAUUUCAAGGUUGUCUUCACAUCUGCCUGCUCCGACUGCCAUAUACCUUAUACGAGAAUGCAUCAACAGCAAGAAGAACAACAACAUCAGUCAACAAUACAGAACUUCAAACGAAGUCACUCUCAUCUGCGUCAGGGCGAAGGUGGAGCUGAAGAUGGAGACGACGAUGGAGCACCAGCAGGUGGGCAUGGGGCAGGGGCGGGUACCUUUGGGUCUGCAAGCCAGCUCGGGGAUCUUCUGGUUAAUGCGUUGUGUCCACAGCCGCUGCUGGCUGGCCCGCCGCAGCUCCAUCUUCAUCUUCAUCCAAUUGUUGAGCGACACCGACACACAUAAAACUUGAUGUGAUGCGUCUUCGUCUGCGUCUCGAAAUCCUCUUUAAAUUAAGAAAGAUGAUUUGCAGAUUUGAAUGCAGACACCGAAGACACCGAAGACUGGACAGACGGAGGGACCAGAACACGACCACGACCACGACCAAGACCAAGACCAAGACCCAACCAAGUGAUGUAAGCCUGCCAACGAAUUUAUUUGUUCUUUCGGGCUCGCUUCGGCCGGGGACCGCCUCUGGGGCUGCUGCAAUAAAAGAAAUCCCAAACAUACUUCAGUUUUUAGAGCCCGAGCAGCUAAUUUACGAUUAUUGGCUUUCAUCUUCUUUUCGACUAAGCCAAAUAAAUCCCCUCCCCAGGCCCCUGGGCCACUUUAUGAUUUGUUCAUGGCCAAGUCAAGUCCCCAGAGCCGUUAUAGAAUACGAGCAUGUCUGCGGAUCUGUCCAGAGACGGAAUAUGAAUGGAUCCAACGAUGGUCUAUGAUGACGGAGUGCACGAGAUUAGCAUCAUCUUCUAAGAGGUUUACUGACACUCGUAACAGUUUUAUUGGAGUGGUUUGAUGGUCUCUAUCGAUGAAAUCAUUUCACAGUUACUUUAAGACCCCUUCAAGUGAGAGAUUGAAUCGUUUGGGUAGAGCAUAGUCCACUUCACUCAAGAGUUCCAAUCAUGUAACACAGAAUCUAUGCAGUGAUAUGCAAAUACAGGGAAUUCUUCCACAUAAUAUAUGUUGAUUGUUAAUUUUACUCAGUAGUUUUUAUUAAAUCAAGAGUUUCCUUUUUUUGUGGUGGUUGUCAUACAAUUAAAGCAUACAAUAUGUCGUAUUUAUAUAUAGAAUAGUGUCUUGGCUCCUUUAAUCUCUCGUUGCCCGAUAUGCUAGUGGAAUGAUCAGUGUGGAUCGGAAAUUUCUACAGGGGCCCUCGGACCGCCCAGGCUGCGCAAUGGGUCCGCAGAGAGAAGCGACAUUUUCGGACGUUAUCCGGCCGGCUCUUGAAAAUGCUCGUUCCUCAGUGGAACCCAAUCCCUCAGUGGGUGGGACAGUCGGUGGGCCCCGGACCCAAACACACACAA